rnacentral:tRNA from 1 species
GAGGGUAGAGCUCAGUGGUAGAACGUGUGCUUAGCAUGCACAGGGUCCUAGGUUCAACCCCCAGUACCUCCU